rnacentral:rRNA from 1 species
CUGGAUCGGUGACAGGUGCUGCAUGGCUGUCGUCAGCUCGUGUCGUGAGAUGUUGGGUUAAGUCCCGCAACGAGCGCAACCCUUGUCCUUAGUUGCCAGCAUUCAGUUGGGCACUCUAAGGAGACUGCCGGUGUCAAACCGGAGGAAGGUGGGGAUGACGUCAAGUCCUCAUGGCCCUUAUGUCCAGGGCUACACACGUGCUACAAUGGCCGGUACAAAGGGGCGCAAGACCGCGAGGUGGAGCAAAUCCCAAAAAACCGGUCUCAGUUCGGAUUGGAGUCUGCAACUCGACUCCAUGAAGUUGGAAUCGCUAGUAAUCGCGUAUCAGCAUGACGCGGUGAAUACGUUCCCGGGCCUU